AACGGGUGAGUAACACGUGAGUAACCUGCCCUUGACUUUGGGAUAACUUCAGGAAACUGGGGCUAAUACCGGAUAGGAGCUCCUGCCGCAUGGUGGGGGUUGGAAAGUUUCGGCGGUUGGGGAUGGACUCGCGGCUUAUCAGCUUGUUGGUGGGGUAGUGGCUUACCAAGGCUUUGACGGGUAGCCGGCCUGAGAGGGUGACCGGCCACAUUGGGACUGAGAUACGGCCCAG
rnacentral:rRNA from 1 species